rnacentral:rRNA from 1 species
GACGAACGCUGGCGGCGUGCUUAACACAUGCAAGUCGAACGAAGUGGCGAACGGGUGAGUAACGCGUAAUCAACCUGCCCUUCAGAGGGGGACAACAGUUGGAAACGACUGCUAAUACCGCAUACUGAAGGAGGGGAUUGCGUCUGAUUAGCUAGUUGGAGGGGUAACGGCCCACCAAGGCGAUGAUCCCUAGCUGGUCUGGGAGGAUGACCAGCCACACUGGAACUGAGACACGGUCCAGACUCCUACGGGAGGCAGCAGUGGGGAAUAUUGCACAAUGGGCGCAAGCCUGAUGCAGCCAUGCCGCGUGUAUGAAGAAGGCCUUCGGGUUGUAAACCGCUUUCAGCCAUGACGCGGUAGUGGCAGAAGAAGCACCGGCUAACUACGUGCCAGCAGCCGCGGUAAUAC